CAGGGUCUGGCGCAGCUGAGGAAAUGCGCUCCUGGCCCGGGGCAGGCGGGGGCCGGGACACAGAGGCCCUUUCAGCCCCGGAAGGCUGCGGGCCCGGGCGGGGCGGGGCGGCACCCUCCAGGAGGACGCCCGGCCUUCUCCCCACUUCUGCCUGGGAGGCCCCUGGCCCGCCGGGCUUUGUCCUAUUUAUAAACGUGCUCCUGAGUAAACUCCCUGAAGAAAGGGGCCUCUGUGUGCGGCAGCCCGGCCCACAGCGCCGCCCUCAGCACACAGUAGGCGCUCAGCAUGGCCUUCUCAUGGGACUGAGGACAAGCACCGAUCCUUGGGAGCUGCCAGGCGCCUCCAGCACCCAGAACCCCUGACAUCGAGCGCCUGGACACCUGUUCCCGAAGCCCUGUGAGCUGAUGGGCUACGUAACCUCUGGGCCGCAAUGCUAGAAUAAAAUGCAUGGACACUUGUUCCAAAACGAUGGAGGGACGGUGUGGGAAACAGGCCCCAGCCCUGUCGACUGAGGGUGAAUGCACGAGUGAAAGUGACAAUACAUGGGUAAACUGAGGCAGGCGGCAUCAGCCGUAGAGGAGAGAGGAUGAGGUUCCAACCUGGGGUGUAAGAGAAACAAGAUGCUACAGGAGCAGAAGGGCCAUCAGCUGUGCUAAGAUAAAGCAGGGACCUAAAUUUGGGCCUGAGAGCUGGUCCAGGCCUGCCAGUGGCAGUGGCUCAAGACGUGGGGCGCUGUGACUGGGUCUCAGACCCAGUGAUGCCACCAACCCAGGCUUCUCCCAGGCUCCUCCCCCAGUAGCACUCUGUCACUACAGGGUGACAUCCAGGCCCUUCACGAUCUGUCUCCAGGGAGCCACCACCUCCCCCAGCCCAACAGGCCAAGCACUGACAUCCAAACCAACUGACUACCCAGGAGCCUGGGCAUGCUUUGUCCGUCUGGCCCAGGGAGGCAUCUGCCCAUCCCUGUGAAUAGCAGCGUCUCUCCUCAACAGUCAGUGACUGCCUUCUGACAGCCUGACCAGGGGGUCUGAGUGCGAGAGGCAUCUGGCAUCUCUGAAAAAGCAGCUCCAGCCUGGCUUCCAGGGCAGGGACUCUCCACUGCCAGAUCUGCAGACUCUCCACCACCAGGGCGCCUACUGCAGUUGGGAAAAGCCUCAGAUCUAUGUCCUCUCCUGUCUGGGUGGAGCAGGCACCAUGAUCCCUGUUUCAUGCACAAGGACAUUGAUGCGCAGGGACUACAGGACUUGUCCAAGGAUGCACCCGAGCCCACGUCCCACCUAGGUUCCCCAGUCUCUCCCAGACAAUCCCUCAGAAAACAGUCCUGGGCCCAGGAACCAGAGCUGCUGAGCAGGCCCAGCUACGUAAUUUGUGGAGCCCAGUGCAAAUUGAAAAUUUGAGACCCUUUGUUAAGAAAUUAUGAAGAGGCCAGGCACAAUGGCUCACAUCUGUAAUCCCAGCACUUUGGGAGGCCGAGGCAGGCAGAUCACUUGAGUCCUGGCGUUCAAGACCAGCCUGGCCAAUGUGUCGAAACCCUGUCUCUACUAAAAAUACAAAAAUUAGCCGGGCAUGGUGGCUGGUGCCUGUAAUCCCAGCUACUUGGGAGGCUGAGGCAGGGAGAAUUGCUUGAACCCAGGUGGCAGAAGUUGCAGUGAGUUGAGAUUGUGCCACUGCACUCCAGCUUGGGCGACAGAAGGAGACUCUGUCAAAAAAAGAAAAGAAAAAAAAAAUUAUGAAGAGGCUGGGCAUGGUGGCUUAUGCCUGUAAUCCCAGCACUUUGGGAGGCCGGGGUGGGUGGAUCACCUGAGGUCAGGAGUUCGAGACUAGCCUGGCCAACAUGGUGAAAUCCAGUCUCUACUAAAAAUACAAAAAUUAGCCAAGCAUGGUGGUGCAUGCCUGUAAUACCAGCUACUUGGAAGGCUGAGGCAGGAGAAUCGCUUUAACCCUAGACGCAGAGGUUGCAGUGAGCCAACAUCAUGCUACUGCACUCCAGCCUGGGCGACAGAGUGAGACUCUGUCUCAAAAAAAAAAAAAAAAUUAUGAAGGAUUUCAAGACAAUGUCAGAAGACCAUCAAACUAAGGAUGGGACCCAUGUGACUGCACAGGUCAUAUGCUCAUGAAGCUGGCCAGGAUGGCAAGUCCAGGACACCAAGCCAGGCUCUUUCCUGGGCACCGUGCACCUCUUCCCUUGCUCAAGGUCCAUCUGCUGGCCAGUUCCUGGGAUUUCUCUGACCCGCCCACUCCACACAGGCUGGACGUCCAGGGCGUCUUCAGAGAGGUCCACUAGAUAUUAGGGGACGCUGCCCAGUACUUUCCCAUCAAAGACCAAGACCACAGAACACUUCCAGAAACGCUUCCAGAAAUGCUCAAUCCUGCCAGCACUGGAAGUUUGCCUGCCUAUUUUCAGCUGAAGAACACUUGCUCUUGAAGAAAAUGUAGCAGGGCUGUCUACCUAAGGUGAAAUGUACCAGCUGACAGAUGAGAAUCUGACACUGAUCAACAUUAAAACAAUAUAUAAGAACAAAAGUCAAGGGCAUGUUUGUGGCCUCCUAGAGUCCACAUCAUGCCCAUGAUUUGUCUCACUCUGCCCUCGGAGAGCCAGAGGAGGGAACUUCUGCCUUGGCCCACCUGGGUUUGUCCCCACCCUGGAGUCAGGCCAUGUCCACUCCCCUUCCAGUCUCUGCUGGGGUCCCUGCAUGCCCUAUGCUCUCUUCCAGCUUGUCUGAAUCCUGCCCUCCAGUCUGAGUGCCACGUGGGGGGCAGCUUGCUGGGAUGCCCGAUGCCCCACAGAACUGCAGGGCUGCUGGCCUCAGACAAUAUGGCCCUCCGCUGUCAGAUCCCUCCAGAGAUGGCCUCAACUGGAAGAAAUGCCUCUCAAAAGCCCACAUCUCCCUUUCUUGGGUUCACUCAAUGACUGGCGAGCAGUGGCAUCCUGAUGAGUGACAAGGCAGGUGGAAAGAUCCAGCCCUCUUGCCUCAACUCAGGACAAUAAUACAAGACCCACCGGGCGCAGUGGCUCACGCCUGUAAUCCCAGCACUUUGGGAGGCCGAGGCGGGUGGGUCACCUGAGGUCAGGAGUUUGAGACCAGCCUGGCCAACAUGGUGAAACCCCAUCUCUACUAAAAAUACAAAAAUUAGCUGGGCGUGGUGGUGUGUGCCUGUAAUCCCAGCUACUUGGGAGGCUGAGGCAGGAGAAUUGCUUGAACCCAGGAGGCAGAGGUUGUAGUGAGCCGAGACUGUGCCACUGCACUCCAGCCUGGGUGACAGAGUGAGACACUGUCUCAAAUUAAAAAAUAAUAAUAAUAAUAAUAAUAAAGAGUAAUACAAGACCAUCCCUGCUCCAGAGCUCCCCUUGGGGUCAGCAGGGCCUUCCAAGUUCUCCCUCUGCCCCUCCUGUGCCUUCCCCCGGAGAUGCUGACCCCAGGAGCACUCCCUGAUGAACCUCCUGCCUGGCAGUCUCCCUCUCAGAGCUGGCUUUCUAGGAAAGCUGACCUGCCUCCACGAAGCCACGUCUCUCCUACCUGGGGCACCUGUGGGCGCCUCCCACCUCUUCAAAUGCCCUGUAACAGUCAUCCAUUCAGCAGAUCCUCACUGAAGGCCUACUAUGCACCAGAUGCUGUUCUGGGUGCUGACGGUAAAGCAAAAUGAAGCAGACACCCCUGCCCUCAUGGAGCUCAGGCCUGCAGAUGAGCAGGCAAAAAGCAACCAAAAAUUUAAUGUGAUGACGUUAAACAUCAUACCACAGAAUGAUACAACAGAGAAUCUGAUUGUGGCUGGGGGCACCUGCUUUAGAACAAACUUCCUCUGGGUCAAGAAGGGUCUCUCUGAGGAGCCACGUCUGAAUCAGAGGCCAGUUCCUCGAUAAGUUGAAAGAUGAACAUUAACCAGGCAAGUUCAAAGGCUCUUGGAUGGGAAGGAAAUUGAGGUGUUGGAUUCAAGGGAACAAAAGUGAAGCUGAUGACGGGAGAUGAGGUGAGAUGUAGGACCAGAGGGCCGGGGAGGUUGCCUCAUGCUUGUAAUCCCAGCACUUUGGGAAGCCAAGGAGGGCAGAUCACUUGAGGUCAGGAGUUUGAGACUAGCCUGGCCAACAUGGUGAAACCUCAUCUCUACUAAAAAUACAAAAAAAAAAUUUAGCCAGGCAUGGUGGCGUGUGCCUGUAGUCCCAGCUACUUGGGAGGCUGAGUCAUGAGAAUCACUUGAACCUGGAAGGCAGAAGUUAGAGUGGUCCGAGAUCAUGCCCCUGGGUGACACAGUGAGACUGUCUCAAAAAAAAGAAAAAAAGAAAAAAAGAAGCAGGACCAGAGGAUGCAGGGCCUUGAGGAAGAAUCUAGAAGAAUCUAGCUUUUAUUGUCAGUGAGGUGGGAGCGUCAGAUGGUUCUAAGCAGGGCAGUCAUGGAAUCUUUUUUUUUUUUUUUCUUUUUGAGACAGAGUUUCGUACUUGUUGCCCAGGCUGGAGUGCAAUGGCACAACCUCAGCUCACUGCAACCUCCGCCUCCUGAUUCAAGCGAUUCUCCUGCCUCAGCCUCCCGAGUAGCUGGGAUUACAGGCAUACGCCACCAUGCCCGGCUAAUUUGUAUUUUUAGUAGAGAUGGGUUUUCUCCAUGUUGGUCAGGCUGGUCUCAAACUCUCAACCUCAGGUGAUCCACCCGCCUCGGCCUCCCAAAGUGCUGGGAUUACAGGUGUGAGCCACCGCGCCCAGCAUGGAAUCUUUACCUGUUUCAAGCCAUCACUGGCGGUCAGACAGAAAAUGAAUUCAUCACAUGAAAUACCUGCUGUUCGGCACAUGAGCAUUUCUGGAAGUAUUUCUGGAAGUGUUCUAUGGAAUGGGUGUAAGGUUUUGGGUUUUGUUUUGUUUUUUUUCCCAUUAGUUUUUUUUUGUUUUGGGGAUGUUUUUAGAGAUUGGGUCUCAUGUUGCCCAGGCUGGACUCAAACUCCUGGGUUCAGAUGAUUCUCCCACCUCAGCCUCCCGAGUAGCUGGGACUACAGGUACGCACCACUGCACGUGGCUGAACAUUAGCUUUAACCUGCAUUUGUGCAAUAUCCUGUCUGCUGUUUAGGAGCUGGAGUCCAGCACUUGGACUUGUUUGGAUCCCCAACUGCCUUGCUCUGAGUAGGUAUUCAAUGAACAUUUGAUGAGUUGAUGCUUCUGUUUUAGCUAUGAUCUUCUGGGUUUGUUUUGUUUUGUUUUGUUUUUACACAGAAUGUUGUCCAGGCUUGAGUGCAGUA
rnacentral:lncRNA from 1 species